ACUACAAAUUCUUUGGACCAUAUUUAUUUAUAUUUCUGGUCAUUUAGACAGUGAAAAUUCAAACAUCUAUUUGCCUUUGUGACGUUUAACUUUGAGAAGAAAUGAUUUCAACAGAGAAAAAAUAUAUAUUGUCCAUAGUCCUGAUGAUUUCUUUCUCUCAGGAAGAAGAGUUACCUUCAGCAGUUCAUCAAAACUCUGUCUUCUGACUAACCUCCACACUGUUUUCCAUAAUGGCUGACAUUUCCACCAACAGUGCGGCAAUGGACCCAGUUUCUCCCCAUCCUCGCCCACACUUGUCUUUUACUUGUUUGAUGUACUGGCAGGUGUAAGCUAACGCCUCCUCUCCUGGGGCUGCACUGCUUCCCAUCAGUCCAGGGUCUUGCUCUGUCACCCCGGCUAGAGUACAGUGGUGCAACCAUGAUGGUGCACUGCAGCCUUG